rnacentral:sRNA from 1 species
UUCGCCGGAAGAGGGGCUUGAGGAAA